AACGAACGCUGGCGGCAGGCUUAACACAUGCAAGUCGAACGAUAUAGUGGCAGACGGGUGAGUAACGCGUGGAAACGUGCCUUUCACUACGGAAUAGCUUUUGGAAACGAAAGGUAAUACCGUAUACGCCCUCCGGGGGAAAGAUUUAUCGGUGAAAGAUCGGUCCGCGUUAGAUUAGCUAGUUGGUGAGGUAACGGCUCACCAAGGCUACGAUCUAUAGCUGGUCUGAGAGGAUGAUCAGCCACACUGGAACUGAGACACGGUCCAGACUCCUACGGGAGGCAGCAGUGGGGAAUAUUGCACAAUGGGCGCAAGCCUGAUGCAGCCAUGCCGCGUGAAUGAUGAAGGCCUUAGGGUUGUAAAAUUCUUUCGCCAAGGAUGAUAAUGACAGUACUUGGUAAAGGAGCCCCGGCUAACUUCGUGCCAGCAGCCGCGGUAAUACGAAGGGGGCUAGCGUUGUUCGGAAUUACUGGGCGUAAAGCGCACGUAGGCGGACUUUUAAGUCAGAUGUGAAAUCCCGAGGCUCAACCUCGGAACUGCAUUUGAAACUGGGAGUCUAGAGAUCAGGAGAGGUUAGUGGAAUACCGAGUGUAGAGGUGAAAUUCGUAGAUAUUCGGUGGAACACCAGUGGCGAAGGCGACUAACUGGACUGAUACUGACGCUGAGGUGCGAAAGUGUGGGGAGCAAACAGGAUUAGAUACCCUGGUAGUCCACACCGUAAACGAUGAGUGCUAGUUGUCUGCAGGCAUGCCUGUAGGUGACGCAGCUAACGCAUUAAGCACUCCGCCUGGGGGAGUACG
rnacentral:rRNA from 1 species